rnacentral:rRNA from 1 species
UACGUAGGCAGCAAGCGUUGUUCGGAGUUACUGGGCGUAAAGGGCGCGUAGGCGGCCUGACAAGUGGAAGGUGAAAUCCCUCGGCUCAACUGAGGAACUGCCCUCCAAACUGUUUGGCUUGAGACCGGGAGAGGUGAGUGGAAUUCCCAGUGUAGCGGUGAAAUGCGUAGAUAUUGGGAGGAACACCAGUGGCGAAGGCGGCUCACUGGACCGGAACUGGACGCUGAGGCGCGAAAGCGUGGGGAGCAAACGGG